GAUGAACGCUGGCGGCGUGCCUAAUACAUGCCAGUCGAGCGAACAGAUGGGGAGCUUGCUCCUCUGACGUUAGCGGCGGACGGGUGAGUAACACGUGGAUAACCUACCUAUAAGACUGGGAUAACUUCGGGAAACCGGAGCUAAUACCGGAUAAUAUAUUGAACCGCAUGGUUCAAUAGUGAAAGACGGUUUUGCUGUCACUUAUAGAUGGAUCCGCGCCGCAUUAGCUAGUUGGUAAGGUAACGGCUUACCAAGGCAACGAUGCGUAGCCGACCUGAGAGGGUGAUCGGCCACACUGGAACUGAGACACGGUCCAGACUCCUACGGGAGGCAGCAGUAGGGAAUCUUCCGCAAUGGGCGAAAGCCUGACGGAGCAACGCCGCGUGAGUGAUGAAGGUCUUCGGAUCGUAAAACUCUGUUAUUAGGGAAGAACAAAUGUGUAAGUAACUAUGCACGUCUUGACGGCACCUAAUCAGAAAGCCACGGCUAACUACGUG
rnacentral:rRNA from 1 species